CCUACGGGAGGCAGCAGUGAGGAAUAUUGGUCAAUGGUCGCAAGACUGAACCAGCCAUGCCGCGUGCAGGAAGACGGCCCUAUGGGUUGUAAACUGCUUUUAUAUAGGAAGAAACCUUUUUACGUGUAGAAAGCUGACGGUACUAUAUGAAUAAGCACCGGCUAACUCCGUGCCAGCAGCCGCGGUAAUACGGAGGGUGCAAGCGUUAUCCGGAUUUAUUGGGUUUAAAGGGUCCGUAGGCGGACUUAUAAGUCAGUGGUGAAAUCCUGCAGCUCAACUGUAGAACUGCCAUUGAUACUGUAAGUCUUGAAUUCGGUUGAAGUGGGCGGAAUAUGGCAUGUAGCGGUGAAAUGCUUAGAUAUGCCAUAGAACACCGAUUGCGUAGGCAGCUCACUAAGCCUGGAUUGACGCUGAGGGACGAAAGCGUGGGUAGCGAACAGGAUUAGAUACCCUGGUAGUCCACGACCGUAACGAUAGAUACUCACAUAGNGAUAUACGUUAGUGUNUAUAGACGAAGACGAGUUAAGUUAAGUACCGACCGUAACGGGGUAGGUACGGUUAGUU
rnacentral:rRNA from 1 species